GGUGAGAUGGCCGAGCGGUCUAAGGCGCCAGACUAAGGUUUAUAUCUUGCGAUAUAGUUACGUAAUCUGGUCCUCACGGGCGUGGGUUCGAAUCCCACUCUCAUCA
rnacentral:tRNA from 1 species